GACGAACGCUGGCGGCGUGCUUAACACAUGCAAGUCGAACGGAAAGGCCAUGCGUUUGUGGGUUUCUUGUUUGGCGAACGGGUGAGUAACACGUGUGUAUCCUCCCCUUGACUUUCGGAUAACUCUAGGAAACUGGGGCUAUUACCCGAUAUGAUCUCCUGCUGCAUGGUGGUGGAUGGAAAGAUUCGGCGGUUGGGGAUGGACUCGCGGCUUAUCAGCUUGUUGGUGGGGUAGUGGCUGACCAAGGCUUUGACGGGUAGCCGGCCUGAGAGGGUGACCGGCCACAUUGGGACUGAGAUACGGCGCAGUCUCCUACGGGAGGCAGAGGUGGGGAAUAUGACAGAAUGGGCGGACGCGUGAUGCAGCAACGCCGCGUGCGGGAUGACGGCCUUCGGGUUGUAAACCGCUUUCGCAUGUGACGAAGCGUGAGUGACGGUAAUGGGUAAAGAAGCACCGGCUAACUACGUG
rnacentral:rRNA from 1 species